rnacentral:rRNA from 1 species
AGGGAAGCGAAAUGGUAACAUGGAGCAAACCCCUAAAAGCAGUCUCAGUUCAGAUUGUGGGCUGCAACUCGCCCACAUGAAGGUGGGAAUUGCUAGUAAUCGCGGAUCAGCAUGCCGCGGUGAAUACGUUCCCGGGCCUUGUACACACCGCCCGUCACACCAUGAGAGUCGGAAACACCCGAAGCCUGUAGCUUAACCGCAAGGAGGGCGCAGUCGAAGGUGGGUUCGAUAAUUGGGGUGAAGUCGUAACAAGGUAGC